AGUGAGUGCAUGCAGCUCCGCAAACUCUACCUGGAGCACAACCGAAUCGCGCGGCUGGAGGGCCUGCAGAACUGCCAGCGACUCGAGGAGCUGUACCUGGGGGACUAGAAAAUUGGCCGCGCUCAC
rnacentral:ribozyme from 1 species